rnacentral:rRNA from 1 species
UCGAGAGUUUGAUCCUGGCUCAGGAUGAACGCUAGCGGCAGGCUUAACACAUGCAAGUCGAGGGGUAUAGUUCUUCGGAGCUAGAGACCGGCGCACGGGUGCGUAACGCGUAUGCAAUCUACCUUUUACAGAGGGAUAGCCCAGAGAAAUUUGGAUUAAUGCCCCAUAGUGUUAUUGAAUCGCAUGGUUUAAUAACCUAAAGUUCCAACGGUAUAAGAUGAGCAUGCGUCCCAUUAGUUAGUUGGUAAGGUAACGGCUUACCAAGACGAUGAUGGGUA